UGGGGAAUAUUGCGCAAUGGGCGAAAGCCUGACGCAGCCACGCCGUGUGUGUGAUGAAGGCCCUCGGGUCGUAAAGCACUGUCGGGACCCAAGAUGGGGGUUCGGGAACAAUACCUCGGACCUCUGACGGUAAGUCCAAAGGAAGCACCGGCUAACUCUGUGCCAGCAGCCGCGGUAAGACAGAGGGUGCAAGCGUUGUUCGGAAUUAUUGGGCGUAAAGCGCGCGUAGGCGGUUUGGUAAGUCGGGUGUGAAAGCCCAGGGCUCAACCCUGGAAGUGCACUCGAAACUGCCUGACUUGAGUCCCGGAGAGGGUGGUGGAAUUCCUGGUGUAGAGGUGAAAUUCGUAGAUAUCAGGAGGAACAUCCGUGGCGAAGGCGACCACCUGGACGGUGACUGACGCUGAGGUGCGAAAGCGUGGGGAGCAAACAGGAUUAGAUACCCCCGUAGUCC
rnacentral:rRNA from 1 species